rfam:Arthrobotrys oligospora ATCC 24927 unplaced genomic scaffold scaffold00076, whole genome shotgun sequence.
GGACCCGUGGUGUAAUUGGAUGCACUUCCCUUAUAAACUCACUGACUUUAACCGGGACAGUAUAGGUUCGAGUCCUAUCGGGGCCG